UAAUACGGAGGGUGCGAGCGUUAAUCGGAAUUACUGGGCGUAAAGCGUGCGUAGGUGGUGACGUAAGUCGGGUGUGAAAUCCCCAGGCUUAACCUGGGAAUGCCAUUCGAUACUGUGUCGCUAGAGUAUGGGAGAGGGAAGUGGAAUUUCCGGUGUAGCGGUGAAAUGCGUAGAUAUCGGAAGGAACACCAAUGGCGUAAGCAGCUUCCUGGACCAAUACUGACACUGAGGCACGAAAGCGUGGGGAGCAAACAGGAUUAGAUACCCUGGUAGUCCACGCCAUAAACGAUGAGAACUAGAUGUCGGGAGGGUUAAACUUCUCGGUAUCGUAGCUAACGCGUUAAGUUCUCCGCCUGGGGAGUACGGCCGCAAGGUUG
rnacentral:rRNA from 1 species